rnacentral:rRNA from 1 species
AGCGAACGCUGGCGGCAGGCCUAACACAUGCAAGUCGAACGAAGUCUUCGGACUUAGUGGCGGACGGGUGAGUAACACGUGGGAACGUGCCUUUAGGUUCGGAAUAACUCAGGGAAACUUGUGCUAAUACCGAAUGUGCCCUUCGGGGGAAAGAUUUAUCGCCUUUAGAGCGGCCCGCGUCUGAUUAGCUAGUUGGUGAGGUAAAGGCUCACCAAGGCGACGAUCAGUAGCUGGUCUGAGAGGAUGAUCAGCCACAUUGGGACUGAGACACGGCCCAAACUCCUACGGGAGGCAGCAGUGGGGAAUCUUGCGCAAUGGGCGAAAGCCUGACGCAGCCAUGCCGCGUGAAUGAUGAAGGUCUUAGGAUUGUAAAAUUCUUUCACCGGGGACGAUAAUGACGGUACCCACAGAAGAAGCCCCGGCUAACUUCGUGCCAGCCGCCGCGGUAACAC